GACGAACGCUGGCGGCGUGCUUAACACAUGCAAGUCGAACGGAAAGGCCCUGCUUUUGUUGGGUGCUCGAGUGGCGAACGGGUGAGUAACACGUGAGUAACCUGCCCUUGACUUUGGGAUAACUUCAGGAAACUGGGGCUAAUACCGGAUAGGAGCUCCUGCUGCAUGGUGGGGGUUGGAAAGUUUCGGCGGUUGGGGAUGGACUCGCGGCUUAUCAGCUUGUUGGUGGGGUAGUGGCUUACCAAGGCUUUGACGGGUAGCCGGCCUGAGAGGGUGACCGGCCACAGUGGGACUGAGAUACGGCCCAGACUCCUACGGGAGACAGCAGUGGGGAAUAUUGCACAAUGGGCGGAAGCCUGAUGCAGCAACGCCGCGUGCGGGAUGACGGCCUUCGGGUUGUAAGCCGCUUUCGCCUGUGACGAAGCGUGAGUGACGGUAAUGGGUAAAGAAGCACCGGCUAACUACGUG
rnacentral:rRNA from 1 species